UACCAGCGACCCCGAGUGGUCGGGACGAUUAUUGGGCCUAAAGGCAUCCGUAGCCGGUUCUACAAGUCUUCCGUUAAAUCCACCUGCUUAACAGAUGGGGCUGCGGAGGAUACUAUAGAGCUAGGAGGCGGGAGAGGCAAGCGGUACUCGAUGGGUAGGGGUAAAAUCCGUUGAUCCAUUGAAGACCACCAGUGGCGAAGGCGGCUUGCCAGAACGCGCUCGACGGUGAGGGAUGAAAGCUGGGGGAGCAAACCGG
rnacentral:rRNA from 1 species